AACGCUAGCUACAGGCUUAACACAUGCAAGUCGAGGGGCAGCGCAGUGUAGCAAUACAUGGGCGGCGACCGGCGCACGGGUGCGUAACGCGUAUCCAACCUUCCCGUUACUCAGGGAUAGCCUUCCGAAAGGGAGAUUAAUACCUGAUGGUGUUCAAAUUCCGCAUGUUAUUUGAACUAAAGAUUUAUCGGUAACGGAUGGGGAUGCGUGACAUUAGGUAGAUGGCGGGGUAACGGCCCACCAUGCCUACGAUGUCUAGGGGUUCUGAGAGGAAGGUCCCCCACACUGGAACUGAGACACGGUCCAGACUCCUACGGGAGGCAGCAGUGAGGAAUAUUGGUCAAUGGUCGGAAGACUGAACCAGCCAAGUAGCGUGAAGGAUGAAGGUUCUAUGGAUUGUAAACUUCUUUUAUACGGGAAUAAAACCACCUACGUGUAGGUGCUUGUAUGUACCGUAUGAAUAAGCAUCGGCUAACUCCGUGCCAGCAGCCGCGGUAAUACGGAGGAUGCGAGCGUUAUCCGGAUUUAUUGGGUUUAAAGGGAGCGUAGACGGGGGAUUAAGUCAGUUGUGAAAGGCUGCGGCUCAACCGCAGCACUGCAGUUGAUACUGGUUCCCUUGAGUGCGGUUGAGGUAUGUGGAAUUCGUGGUGUAGCGGUGAAAUGCUUAGAUAUCACGAAGAACUCCGAUUG
rnacentral:rRNA from 1 species